rnacentral:lncRNA from 1 species
AACGACAUACAAAUACGAGAGAAGGAAUAGAAUUACCUGCCGAAACCACACCAACGUAAUACUUGUUGCAAGAAGGGAACGAUAAUUACAAUAAAACAAAAAAAGAAAAAGAAAAGGUAGGAUUCAAGGAGAAUUUUGACAAAAGUGAAAGAAAAAGAAAAACAAAUCCGAAGAGGAAGAACAGAGGAUUUCGGCAAUAUGCAAGAUGAAACUGAAAAAAAAUCAGAAUUUUGGAAUUGGGGAGAGAAAAACAAAUUUUAGUCCACCAC